UUUCCGUAGGUGAACCUGCGGAAGGAUCAUUAUAGAGUUCAUGCCCUCACGGGUAGAUCUUCCACCCUUGAAUAUUUAUACCUUAGUUGCUUUGGCAGGCCGUGGAAACACCAUGGGCUCCGGCUUAUGCGUGCCUGCCAGAGGAAGCAAACUCUGUUUUUAGUGGCGUCUGAGUACUAUAUAAUAGUUAAAACUUUCAACAACGGAUCUCUUGGUUCUG
rnacentral:misc_RNA from 1 species